AUUGAUGAUGUCCAUCUCAUUGAAGAAGUAUUAGGCAUGUGCCUAAUAAGAGUUUUCUUUGGUUUGGUAGCCAACCUUGUUGACUUGGUUUGGUUGGUAGCCAACCUUGUUGAAUUUCUUUGGUUUGGUAGCCAACUUUGUUGAAUUGUGAAAAGUGUGUGUAAAUUGUCAAAUAUUGUAGGCUUUAGAGGGUGAAGCUUUGGCUAUAAAAGGAGAGCUUCAACUCUCAUUUCUUCACACCAACAAAGAGAGAAAGAAAG
rnacentral:lncRNA from 1 species